GAUGAACGCUGGCGGCGUGCCUAACACAUGCAAGUUGAGCGAAGCCUUCGGGCUUAGCGGCGGACGGGUGAGUAACGCGUGGGAACGUGCCCUUUGGUACGGAAUAGCCCCGGGAAACUGGGAGUAAUACCGUAUGUGGUCGAGAGACGAAAGAUUUAUCGCCAAAGGAUCGGCCCGCGUUGGAUUAGGUAGUUGGUGGGGUAAUGGCCUACCAAGCCGACGAUCCAUAGCUGGUUUGAGAGGAUGAUCAGCCACACUGGGACUGAGACACGGCCCAGACUCCUACGGGAGGCAGCAGUGGGGAAUCUUAGACAAUGGGGGAAACCCUGAUCUAGCCAUGCCGCGUGAUCGAUGAAGGCCUUAGGGUUGUAAAGAUCUUUCAGUGGGGAAGAUAAUGACUGUACCCACAGAAGAAGCCCCGGCUAACUCCGUGCCAGCCGCCGCGGUAACAC
rnacentral:rRNA from 1 species